rnacentral:rRNA from 1 species
UACGUAGGGUGCAAGCGUUAAUCGGAAUUACUGGGCGUAAAGCGUGCGCAGGCGGUUGUGCAAGACAGAUGUGAAAUCCCCCGGGCUCAACCUGGGAACUGCAUUUGUGACUGCACAGCUUGAGUGCGGCAGAGGGGGAUGGAAUUCCGCGUGUAGCAGUGAAAUGCGUAGAUAUGCGGAGGAACACCGAUGGCGAAGGCAAUCCCCUGGGCCUGCACUGACCGCUCAUGCACGAAAGCGUGGGGAGCAAACAGG